GACAGAGGUGCCGAGCGUUAGGCGGAAUCACUGGGCUUAAAGCGUGUGUAGGUGGAUGCCUAAGUACCUUGUGAAAUCCCACGGCUUAACCGUGGAACUGCUUGGUAUACUGGGUGUCUUGAGCCAGCUAGGGGCUACCGGAACAAAUGGUGGAGCGGUGAAAUGCGCAGAUAUCAGGAGGAACACCGGUGGCGAAGGCGGAUCUCUGGGCCAUUACUGACGCUGAGGAGCGAAAGCGUGGGGAGCGAACAGG
rnacentral:rRNA from 1 species